GAGGAAUAUUGGUCAAUGGGCGCGAGCCUGAACCAGCCAAGUAGCGUGCAGGAUGACGGCCCUAUGGGUUGUAAACUGCUUUUGUAUGGGGAUAAAGUCAAUCACGUGUGAUUGUUUGCAGGUGCCAUACGAAUAAGGACCGGCUAAUUCCGUGCCAGCAGCCGCGGUAAUACGGAAGGUCCGGGCGUUAUCCGGAUUUAUUGGGUUUAAAGGGAGCGUAGGCCGGAGAUUAAGUGUGUUGUGAAAUGUAGACGCUCAACGUCUGACUUGCAGCGCAUACUGGUUUUCUUGAGUACGCACAACGUUGGCGGAAUUCGUCGUGUAGCGGUGAAGUGCUUAGAUAUGACGAAGAACUCCGAUUGCGAAGGCAGCUGACGGGAGCGCAACUGACGCUUAAGCUCGAAGGUGCGGGUAUCGAACAGGAUUAGAUACCCUGGUAGUCCGCACAGUAAACGAUGGAUGCCCGCUGUUGGUACCUGGUGUCAGCGGCUAAGCGAAAGCAUUAAGCAUCCCACCUGGGGAGUACGCCGGCAACGGUG
rnacentral:rRNA from 1 species